rnacentral:tRNA from 1 species
CCGCCACUAGCUCAUCAGUACAGAGCAUCAGCCUUCUAAGCAGACGGUGCGGGGUUCGAGUCCUCGGUGGCGGA